rnacentral:rRNA from 1 species
AUGAAGGUAAAGAGGGCAAAGUAUGAUGAUGUUCAAAGGAAGCUUCGUGUGGUUAACAGAAAACAAGGUGUUGUAAGCCUUAAAGAGAUUGACUUUUACGGCCUCCUGCAACCAGAAGAUAUGGUGUUCUCUGAACAUCUUGUAACACUUUUGGUGAUUGUACCAAUAACAUCCCAGAAGGAAUGGUUAUCAACCUAUGAGUUCCUUGAUCCUUUGGUGGUACCACGAUCAACUAAAAAGAUUUAUGAGGACCGGGAAUCUGCUCUAUACACAAUUACACUAUUUGCUAAGGCUGUUCCAAAUUUCAAGGAUCGUGCAUGGAAGAAACAUUUUCAGGUUAGCGACUUUAUGUUUAGCCCCGAGGCAUACGAAAGAAGAAAGCAAGGGAUCCAGGAGUUAGUUCAUGACCAGGAAGUUACAAAGGCCUCUCUUUUGCAGUGGCUAUAUGGAAGCUACAGCGAGGUUUUUUCCCGCUGGAUGCAUGUCGUUACUAUGCUUGUCUUUUCUGAGAGUCGUCUCCGGUAUGGCCCUCAUGCUAGAUUCCUGUCAGUGGUUCUUGUUCCAUCUAUGGACAAUGAGGGGAAAAUUAGGAACGCCUUGGAGGAAUUGACUGGUGGUGGAAAGAGUUACUGGAAUUCUGCAGAUUCAGAAGAUGCGUUUGCUCUUAUGGGACUGGUUGGUCAAACCGACCCAUAUCACUAUGUUUCAUUCAGCAUCAAGGUUGUCUGA